AGUAGUGGACUCGCCUCCAGAAGAGAGAUCUGCGGGGGUCUUGUUGUAGGUCGAGAUCGUCGUCGAGGUCGUCUUCAGUGGGGGAUUGGAUGAGGGAAGUGGUGGUGGGCCAUUCGAGGGCGUCGGCCAUGAGUUUGAGGGAGGUGUCGACGGAGAGGUGGGCGGAGGAGGAAGAGAGGAAGAGGAGGAGGAGGGUGAAGAGGGGGAAGAGGAGGGAUUUGGAAGCCAUUGGAGAUUUGGGGAAGGGAGAGAAGGAGGAGAUGGGGGGGUUUAGAGAGAGAGAGAUGAAUGUCACAUGAAGAUGGAGGAGAAGAGAGUGAGAGUGUGAUUGGAGUACAGCUGUGGUUAAUCAAUGCCCACCUCUUCACUCCUUCCCUA
rnacentral:lncRNA from 1 species